rnacentral:rRNA from 1 species
UAAUACGAACCGUCCAAACGUUAUUCGGAAUCACUGGGCUUACAGAGUUCGUAGGCGGCGGAGAAAGUAGGGUGUGAAAGCCCUCGGCUCAACCGAGGAAUAGCGCCCUAAACUACUUCGCUUGAGGAGGCUAGAGGUGAGCAGAACAGAUGGUGGAGCGGUGAAAUGCGUUGAUAUCAUCUGGAAUACCGGAGGCGAAGGCGGCUCACUGGGACCUUUCUGACGCUGAGGAACGAAAGCUAGGGUAGCGAACGGG